CGUAGGGUGCGAGCGUUGUCCGGAAUUAUUGGGCGUAAAGAGCUUGUAGGCGGUUUGUCGCGUCUGCCGUGAAAAUCCGGGGCUCAACCCCGAACUUGCGGUGGGUACGGGCAGACUAGAGUGUGGUAGGGGAGACUGGAAUUCCUGGUGUAGCGGUGAAAUGCGCAGAUAUCAGGAGGAACACCGAUGGCGAAGGCAGGUCUCUGGGCCACUACUGACGCUGAGAAGCGAAAGCGUGGGGGAGCGAACAGGAUU
rnacentral:rRNA from 1 species